GAUGAACGCUGGCGGCGUGCCUAAUACAUGCGAGUCGAGCGAACAGACGAGGAGCUUGCUCCUCUGACGUUAGCGGCGGACGGGUGAGUAACACGUGGAUAACCUACCUAUAAGACUGGGAUAACUUCGGGAAACCGGAGCUAAUACCGUAUAAUAUAUUGAACCGCAUGGUUCAAUAGUGAAAGACGGUUUUGCUGUCACUUAUAGAUGGAUCCGCGCCGCAUUAGCUAGUUGGUAAGGUAACGGCUUACCAAGGUAACGAUGCGUACCCGACCUGAGAGGGUGAUCGGCCACACUAGAACUGGAGGACGGUCCGAGCUCCUACGGGGUGCAACAGUAGGGAGUCUUCCGCAUUAGGCGAAGGCUUGUCGGAGCUGCGCGGCGUGAGUGAUGAAGGUCUUCGGAUCGUAAAACUCUGUUAUUAGAGAUGAACAAGUGUGUAAGUAACUAUGCACGUCUUGACGGUACCUAAUCAGAGAGCCACGGCUAACUACGUG
rnacentral:rRNA from 1 species